rfam:Triticum aestivum genome assembly, contig: Triticum_aestivum_CS42_TGACv1_scaffold_224636_3B
UUAGUACUCCCUCCGUCCGAAAAUACUCGUCGGAGGGAUGGAUGUAUCUAGACGUAUUUUUGUUCUAGAUGCAUCCAUUUUCAUCCAUUUUUACGACAAGUAUUUCCGGACGGAGGGAGUAUUAU